GCGCCUACGGGACGCAGCAGUGAGGAAUAUUGGUCAAUGGACGAGAGUCUGAACCAGCCAAGUAGCGUGAAGGAUGACUGCCCUAUGGGUUGUAAACUUCUUUUAUAAAGGAAUAAAACGAGGCACGUGUGCCUUUUUGCAUGUACUUUAUGAAUAAGGAUCGGCUAACUCCGUGCCAGCAGCCGCGGUAAUACGGAGGAUCCGAGCGUUAUCCGGAUUUAUUGGGUUUAAAGGGAGCGUAGAUGGGUUGUUAAGUCAGCGGUGAAAGUUUGUGGCUCAACCAUAAAAUUGCCGUUGAAACUGGU
rnacentral:rRNA from 1 species